rnacentral:rRNA from 1 species
GGCUCAACCUGGGAACUGCAUUCGAAACUGGCAGGCUUGAGUCUUGUAGAGGGGGGUAGAAUUCCAGGUGUAGCGGUGAAAUGCGUAGAGAUCUGGAGGAAUACCGGUGGCGAAGGCGGCCCCCUGGACAAAGACUGACGCUCAGGUGCGAAAGCGUGGGGAGCAAACAGGAUUAGAUACCCUGGUAGUCCACGCCGUAAACGAUGUCUACUUGGAGGUUGUGCCCUUGAGGCGUGGCUUCCGGAGCUAACGCGUUAAGUAGACCGCCUGGGGAGUACGGCCGCAAGGUUAAAACUCAAAUGAAUUGACGGGGGCCCGCACAAGCGGUGGAGCAUGUGGUUUAAUUCGAUGCAACGCGAAGAACCUUAC